ACCCUGCAGAUUCCUUACCCUUCCCAUCUACAUUUUGGUCUGAGUGGCCUGACCAGGAGGAACAGUAACACUGAAGGGGGCUUGGAGCCUCUCGUGGCAUAGAAGUUCGUUUCAAACAUUU
rnacentral:snoRNA from 1 species